rnacentral:rRNA from 1 species
GACGAACGCUGGCGGCGGGCUUAACACAUGCAAGUCGAACGGAAAGGCCCUGCUUUUGUGGGGUGCUCGAGUGGCGAGCGGGUGAGUAACACGUGAGUAACCUGCCCUUGACUUUGGGAUAACUUCAGGAAACUGGGGCUAAUACCGGAUAGGAGCUCCUGCUGCAUGGUGGGGGUUGGAAAGUUUCGACGGUUGGGGAUGGACUCGCGGCUUAUCAGCUUGUUGGUGGGGUAGUGGCUUACCAAGGCUUUGACGGGUAGCCGGCCUGGGAGGGUGACCGGCCACAUUGGGACUGCGAGACGGCCCAGACUCCUACGGGAGGCAGCAGGCGGGAGUAUUACACAAUGGGCGGAAGCCUGAUGCAGCGACGCCGCGUGCGGGAUGACGGCCUUCGGGUUGUAAACCGCUUUCGCCUGUGACGAAGCGUGAGUGACGGUAAUGGGUAAAGAAGCACCGGCUAACUACGUG